ensembl:lncRNA
GUUAAUGGCGCGUGCAGGCGUCUGCGCUGCUUUUCCGCUGGGGGAGUUACCGUAGGACUCGCAAUCUUCGAGUUUUAAUUGUUUAUUUAUUUUUUCUUCCUGUUAUGUUGCCCUCUGUGCUUCCAAAGCUCGGCACAGAUUCGGCAGUGAGAAGGUUUCCUGGUGUUUGGAAACUUCUCUCUUUUUAAGACUCCCUUCCCGGGACGGAGCUCCGUCCCUCCCUCUUUUGUCUCUUUUUUUGUCUUUUAUAUUUUUUCCUACCUCCUUUCGAAGAGUUGGAUUGCUUUUCUGGGUGCCUGAUGUCCUCUGCCGGCAUUCAGAAGUUGUUUUGUGGAAUUUACUCGACGUUUAAAUGCUCUUUUGAUGAAUUUGUGGGGGAGAAAGUGUUCUCCCCGUCCUACUCCUCCGCCAUCUUGGCUCCUCCUCAAGAUUUUCUUUUAAAAUCAGGAACAAGCCUGAAAGGGACCCCUUCCUGCUCACUACAUCCCUGCCAGUGGGUUUGCCCCUCUCUGGGAAUGUAGCCAAGACUCUCACCCAGCUCAGUGA